AACGAACGCUGGCGGCAGGCCUAACACAUGCAAGUCGAACGCCCUAGCAAUAGGGAGUGGCAGACGGGUGAGUAACGCGUGGGAACGUGCCCUUCGGUUCGGAAUAACUCAGGGAAACUUGAGCUAAUACCGGAUACGUGCGAGAGCAGAAAGAUUUAUCGCCGAAGGAUCGGCCCGCGUCCGAUUAGCUAGUUGGUGAGGUAAUGGCUCACCAAGGCGACGAUCGGUAGCUGGUCUGAGAGGACGAUCAGCCACACUGGGACUGAGACACGGCCCAGACUCCUACGGGAGGCAGCAGUGGGGAAUAUUGGACAAUGGGCGCAAGCCUGAUCCAGCCAUGCCGCGUGAGUGAUGAAGGCCCUAGGGUUGUAAAGCUCUUUCGCCAGGGACGAUAAUGACGGUACCUGGAUAAGAAGCCCCGGCUAACUUCGUGCCAGCCGCCGCGGUAA
rnacentral:rRNA from 1 species